UUAAGACAGAUUACUUCGGUUUGAAGUCUUUUAUGACUGAGUGGCGGACGGGUGAGUAACGCGUGGGUAACCUGCCUCAUACAGGGGGAUAGCAGCUGGAAACGGCUGGUAAUACCGCAUAAGCGCACAGUACCACAUGGUACAGUGUGAAAAACUCCGGUGGUAUGAGAUGGACCCGCGUCUGAUUAGCUUGUUGGCGGGGUAACGGCCCACCAAGGCGACGAUCAGUAGCCGACCUGAGAGGGUGACCGGCCACAUUGGGACUGAGACACGGCCCAGACUCCUACGGGAGGCAGCAGUGGGGAAUAUUGCACAAUGGAGGAAACUCUGAUGCAGCGACGCCGCGUGAGUGAAGAAGUAGUUCGCUAUGUAAAGCUCUAUCAGCAGGGAAGAUAGUGACGGUACCUGACUAAGAAGCUCCGGCUAAAUACGCGCCAGCAGCCGCGGUAAUACGUAUGGAGCAAGCGUUAUCCGGAUUUACUGGGUGUAAAGGGAGUGUAGGUGGCCAGGCAAGUCAGAAGUGAAAGCCCGGGGCUCAACCCC
rnacentral:rRNA from 1 species